rnacentral:rRNA from 1 species
CACGCCCUAAACGAUGGAUACUAGGCGUAAGAGGUAUCGACCCCUCUUGUGCCGCAGCUAACGCAUUAAGUAUCCCGCCUGGGGANACCGAAGAACCUUACCCAGGUUUGACAUCGAUUGUAAGCCAUUGAAAGGUGGCCCUCUCUCACAAGGAGACAUGAAGACACUUGU